CCGGAAAAUUCUUCAACGUGUUAACUAUACUUCCCGGUGAAACAAACGGCGGUAUCACAACAUGUUCAACCUUCUGACAAGGAUGAUCAUAGGUGACGCCAAACGUUUGUAACACAAUUGAUCUCUUCAUGAUUUCAGGGUAUGGAAACAAGAGCCGAAAUCAUGGGAAGCUACAAAAACAUGGUCGGAGCCUCUGCUUCGGUUCCAGAACGGGUAAUCAGAUGAGAUGAGAUGAACUGCAGAAGAAAUUAAGGAACGCGCGUGACCGAUGGCAGGGAAGCCAUUAACGGUGCUGAAGUUACAGGAAACGUAAACGGGUACGAAGAAAAAGUCAGCGUCAUAAGGGUCAAAAGUUCGAGAAUCGCUUGUUAACAAAGCUUUAUGGAUAGCAACUUCUGAAGCAAAUAAAUGAGUUUUGCAUCGUUGGUUUGUGAGCCAAACUGUGUUGUAUUUCGGAGGAAGAUCGUAGAUGAAUAUCUUGAGAUUUUUUAUAUUUGAUGUUGUUUUGUUGGUGGAAAAGGAUUGAGAUUGAGAAAGUGAUUUUAUGAUGUGGGUUGGUUUAGGGUGAUUGUUGUUAUUGUUGUUGUUGCUGAUGAGGUAGGAAGUGAAGAAAUAGAGAGAAAGAGAAAGCCAGAGAAUCCAUUUGAAGUAUUUAUGGAAAGAGUUGUAUUUUUCUUGUUGAGGUCUAAAACCAUGUUUGUUGUUGUGCAUGAGUUUCAUUUUAACAUAGUAUCCUUUGUUGUUUUUUGAGGAUGUUUUCUUGAGAUUCUCCAUUUCAUUUAUUGAAAGUGAGAAGGAAAUGGAUUGAAGAUGAAGGAUGGUGAGAGGUUGAGAGAGUGUUUGGUAGUUGGGAGGGUGUUUUCGUGUUCUGGUAUGGGAAGAAGUGGAAGCGAAGAAACAGCGAUGGAGGAAGAAACAGUGAUGGAGGAGAAGGAAAGGUGUGAAUUUUUGUUGGGAUUUCGUUAUUGAACAGAGAGGAUAAAUUGUUUUUUAUUUUCGGAAAAUGGGUGUUAUGUUAAAUUAAUGUGUUAUAAUUAAUGCUUUUAAAUUUUAAUGGGUGUUCUGGUGGUGUGUUAAAUUAAGGCUUUUAAAAUUUUAUAUUUUUCUACAGGGUGUAAUGUACUAAUGUAUAGUCUGUAUUGUUGUCCUUGUGGUUUUAUUCGGAAUGAGUGGACAUUUUCCUA